AUUGGUGUUCGGUUCGGCUUGUGUAGGAUAGCUGGGAGACUGUGAAGCAUGCACGCCAGUGUGUGUGGAGUCGUCGUUGAAAUACCAGUCUGGUCGUGCUGGAUGUCUAACCUGGGUCCGUGAUCCGGAUCAGGGACAGUGUCUGAUGGGUAGUUUAACUGGGGCGGUUGCCUCCUAAAGAGUAACGGAGGCGCCCAAAGGUUCCCUCAGCCUGGUUGGCAAUCAGGUGUUGAGUGUAAGUGCACAAGGGAGCUUGACUGUGAGACCGACGGGUCGAGCAGGGACGAAAGUCGGGACUAGUGAUCCGGCGGUGGCUUGUGGAAGCGCCGUCGCUCAACGGAUAAAAGGUACCCCGGGGAUAACAGGCUGAUCUUCCCCAAGAGUCCAUAUCGACGGGAUGGUUUGGCACCUCGAUGUCGGCUCGUCGCAUCCUGGGGCUGGAGUCGGUCCCAAGGGUUGGGCUGUUCGCCCAUUAAAGCGGUACGCGAGCUGGGUUUAGAACGUCGUGAGACAGUUCGGUCCCUAUCCGCUGUGCGCGUAGGAGUCUUGAGAAGGGCUGUCCCUAGUACGAGAGGACCGGGACGGACGAACCUCUGGUGUGCCAGUUGUUCUGCCAAGGGCAUGGCUGGUUGGCUACGUUCGGGAGGGAUAACCGCUGAAAGCAUCUAAGCGGGAAGCCUGCUUCGAGAUGAGGACUCCCACCCACUUGAUGGGGUAAGGCUCCCAGUAGACGACUGGGUUGAUAGGCCGGAUCUGGAAGCACGGUAACGUGUGGAGGUGACCGGUACUAAUAGGCCGAGGGCUUGUCCUCAGUUG
rnacentral:rRNA from 1 species